GAUGAAGAACGCGGUGAAAUGCGAUAAGUAAUGUGAAUUGCAGAAUUCAGUGAAUCAUCGAAUCUUUGAACGCACAUUGCGCCCAUUAGUAUUCUAGUGGGCAUGCCUGUUCGAGCGUCAUUAAGUCCACUUAAGCCCUGCUUAGUGUUGGGAGACUGCUCCAGCGGUGCUACCCUGUAGCUACCCUGCAGCUCCUCAAAGACAGCGGCGGAGUUGUGGUAUCCUCUGAGCUUAGUAACUUGUUCUAGCUUUCGAGUACACCACUUCCCCUGCCGUAAAACCCUUAAUUUUUAAUGGUUGACCUCGGAUCAGGUAGGAAUACCCGCUGAACUUAAGCAUAUCAAUAAGCGGAGGA
rnacentral:misc_RNA from 1 species